GGUUUUAUUUCCUCUGAUUCUGGUUCAUCAGUUCCUUUAAAUCUUCAUUUGAUCAGCAGAAGAAGAAAGAUUAAAAGGUUGAUAACGAAACGGAGCUGAACCAGAUUCCUGUUGGCUGUUCUGGGAAUAAUCCAGAUGUUUCUGAAACAGCUGCAGGUUAUUAUUGUCCAUUUGAAUACAUAAAUAACGUUACAGACUCUGUUCUGCUGCUGCAACGUUUCGUUUCUUCUGGGAUAGAUGUGAAGACGAUCUCAGGAGGCUUUGCUGUCUCUCUGAUUUAACAAACACUCGACUCACUUCCUGCAGAUUAUUUUUAGUUGACUGGGAGGUGAGAAAACUUUUCUUAUGACCCAGAAAACGAUUUAAUCUGAAGCUCUGUCCGCCAUCUUUACUGAUGUCAGCGUCAUCAACGCUCCAGGAACCUGUUCAGAGGAAUGGAUUGUUUUAGAGCUGGAACCAGUUUCUCAGGAGUUUUCAGUCUGCAGAUAUUUUCUCCUUCCUCUCCAGAACGGAGAAGGAAAACUGAACUCCCAUCCCGGCUGCGACGCUGCGUCUGAAUCAAUACCAGGGGAGAGAUUUUCCGUCUCAGUGGCCGUUAGGACGCCGUCGGGGAGAUUUAUGUGAUUGUGAGAGUUUGAGGUUGGCGACCGCGAGGCAGAGAGGAAGACGGAUCCUGACAGAGGAGAUCCUGGGUUUCAUUUCCAGUCGGUCGUUGAUGAAACCAGUCAAACCAGAGCCGCUCCUCCCAGUAGGACCAGGCUGUAAGCUGCGCUCGCCGCGGCGUUUCCUCACGCUGCCCUACAAAUCAAACCGUACGGAGUUACAGGGCGGCCAUUAUGCAAAUGAGACGCCGGGGGAGGAAGAGGAGGAGGAAGCAGCUGCUCUGAUGGGACGGAAACAUCUGGACCCGGAUUCGCCGCCAGACAGAAAAAAUUUUAAAAAAUCAUUUAAACACGAACAAGCUGGAUAUUUUCCUGCUUGUUAACAAAUCAGUGGUGAAUAUUUCACACCAGCAGAGCAGCGAACACGUCCAGAAUGUUUCAUUCAACUUCUGAAAGGUCAGCAGGCUCCAUCAGAGCUAGCGGGGUCAGAGGUCACAUGUAAAGGCCGUUAGCUUGGCUGAAAAUCUUCUGCUUUUCACAGUAAAUUGAUGAACAAAUGAAACCAGAACAGGAAAUGACAUCAUGUCACCCUGCAUCAGGCAGACAUGCCGAAGGACUGCUGGUGACCUCUGACCUCCACCUGCUGUUCCCACUGACUGUUGGUUGCUCAGGUAACCGCCUGAUGACGCCACAACGUCCUGGGAUUUUCAUCCUGAUAAAAAAAAUCACAAAUUGAUACGAAAGUAAAAUUUCACUCAACAUUUUAAUCUUUUGUAUAAAAUUAUUAUUUCAAUCACUCAGAUUACAACUUUUAUUCUUUGAUGACAAGUUUAUUUCUGUAAUAUUUUGAGUUUAUUUCUGUAAUAUUUUGAGUUUAUUUCUGUACUAUUUUGAGUUUAUUUUUGUAUAUUUUGCAUUUUUUCUGACGUUAUUCCAACGUUAUUCUUCUAACAUUAGGACUUUUUGUCAAAUAACUUUAUUCUGGUAAUUUUAUGACUAUAGUUGUAUUAUGUUUUUUUCUCGUGUUAUUACAACUUAUUAUUUUGGACUUA